CGAAGGGGCUAGCGUUGUUCGGAAUUACUGGGCGUAAAGCGCACGUAGGCGGAUAUUUAAGUCGGGGUGAAAUCCCGGGGCUCAACCCCGGAACUGCCUUCGAUACUGGGUAUCUUGAGUUCGGAAGAGGUGAGUGGAAUUGCGAGUGUAGAGGUGAAAUUCGUAGAUAUUCGCAGGAACACCAGUGGCGAAGGCGGCUCACUGGUCCGAUACUGACGCUGAGGUGCGAAAGCGUGGGGAGCAAACAGGAUU
rnacentral:rRNA from 1 species